GUUUGUGUGUUGCUCUCUCUCUCUCUUUCUCUCUCUCUCUCUCGCUCUCUCUCUCCCACUCUCUCCCUCCCCCUCUUCCUUUCUCUCUCUCUCUCUCCUCUCCCCCCUCUCUCCCCCCUCCUCACUCUCUCUUGCUCCCUCUCUCUCUUUGCCAUUUUCACCGGGCAAAUCAACUGUAGCUGUUCCCUUUUAGAGACCCACCAAGUCAUUUCCUUUGCUUGAUGCAAAAAAGGAGGAGGGGAGUGUGCCAUGUUUGACGCAGUUGCUUCUGGAUCAAGUGAGAGGUCAACACCCCUGGAAUAGACUUGUCAAAUUAAGGAGUUCUCACUGUUACACUGCCAACAGGCACUAAUUAGUGGAACACGCAUAUGCAUGCACACACACACAGCAUGCACACACACAGACACAAACCAACUCUCUUACAAACAUGCACACUCACUCUCUGACACACACACAAACACACACGCAUAACAGUUGGUUGGUUGGUUUGGUGGGGGCCCCCAGGGGACUGCCAGUUUAAAGAAAUGUACCGAACGUACAUUCUACUCAACGCACACCUUUGUCUUAGUGGUUGAGCAAAAACUAAGCUGUUUGAGUACUUUAUUAUCGGAGAUGUAUUUGUUUGAUGUGUAGUUUGUGUUUGCGUGUUUGUUACAUGCAAAUGUGUAUAUCGACAGCAACCGGUAUGUUUACAUCUAAAUCCAUUUCUGUUUAUUUUCGAUUCCCGCCUCCACCUCCUCCGUAGAUAACCGUGUUGUCACAGUUCAACCGCCUUUGUUUUCCAUAUUUUAUAAAUAGCCAGGAGGAAAAGUAUUAAUUAUCCUUGUACAAUUUAAUGCAUGGCGUGGUUUAACCUUUCAGGUUCCCGUUAAACACCGACACAACAAGGCCCAUCCGUGGCGGGCCCCAUCUGAUUUAUGAUGGUGGGGGCCUAAUUCUUGUAUUUUAAAUUUGGGACGGACGGCAAUCUGCAUAGAUUUUAAAUACGACUCCCCCCCCUCCC
ensembl:lncRNA